GUGGCUAAAGUUAGAGACUACAGUGCAGAACGAGGAAGACAGAAGUGGACAGAUGGUAUGGAGUCUCCAAGGGGGUAGAGGCAACCAAGUUCUACAACAGCUUUGGCUGCAAACUGUUAAUUGACAUGCAGAGUAUCAAUGACUGAAUAGAAACAAAAGAGCUUUCAAAUUAACCAGAGACUUUAAUUUGAUUUUGUGAAAAAAAGCUUGGAAGCAAUCAUUUCUCUUUUGUGUUUGUUACCUGUGAGCUUAUACAGUGCAAAUAUUAACUAGGGAGAACCUGUAACUAUGAAAUGCUGUGUAAUUUAAGAGGACACCCAUAGCACACAGUUGCUGGAAGACAGAUCCUUCCACUGAUCAUUUAACAUUCACAAAAGAAAAAUAUAUAUAUAUAACAAAACUGAAAUUUGCAUCUAUGGUUAUUAAAACACAAAAGCACUAAGAGUCUGGUCUUUUUUUUUUUUUUCCAUUUUUUAAAUGAAUUAUAAAACAUGAUCCCAAUUUUAACAGUUUAAAAAAUUAUCUUACUAGAUUUGUAAUCAAGUGCUUUGAUGGGUAAAUAUAUCAGCCUAUGGAACUUUUUUUCCUAAAGAUGUUCUUGAAAUUUUUUUGAACAAUAUCCAAUCUUAUAUUUUCUUAUGAUUGUCAUGGACACAACAGCCUAAUGGCUGUCAACUUUCAGUUUUGUUUGUUGCACUCCAAAGUCACUGUCUAUUUAAGCAUAUAUGAUAUAGAAUACAAGCAUUCUUCCUAAAACAAUAUUAACAAUUACUAUGCUCAGAGUUCACAGUUCUAUAACAAUUUUACAUUAAACACUCAAAACAUUGUACAACCAUAGAUAUUUGUGAGUAGUCUCGAGAAAAAGCUGUAAUUUGGUAUGUUAAGGCAUCUUCAGCCAACAUAUUAAGAAGUUCUGAAUAUCUCUCGCAACAAAAGAUGAAUUUAAUAUUUGAAUAUUUGAUAUUUUCAAGAAAUUUCAAAAGUCACUUAAAAAUAAGAAUACCAUAAUUUGUGAAAUUGUGUUCCUAAACAUUCUUCUACAUUCUUACCACAUAACUUACCUAAAAUCAAGAUACUCAUCCUAUCAGUAUCAACAAUAUCUAUU
rnacentral:lncRNA from 1 species